rnacentral:sRNA from 1 species
UUUCCGUCAUAUGAUUUUGCUACAUGACUGCUUAAAGCACUCCCCUUUAAGCAGUCAUGUAGCAAAAUCACAUGACGGAAA